rnacentral:rRNA from 1 species
UACAGAGGUCUCAAGCGUUGUUCGGAUUCAUUGGGCGUAAAGGGUGCGUAGGUGGCGCCGUAAGUCAGGUGUGAAAUUUCGGAGCUUAACUCCGAAACUGCAUUUGAUACUGCGGUGCUUGAGGACUGGAGAGGAGACUGGAAUUACGGUGUAGCAGUGAAAUGCGUAGAGAUCGUAAGGAAGACCAGUGGCGAAGGCGGGUCUCUGGACGAGU